UACGGGGGGGGCAAGCGUUGUUCGGAAUUACUGGGCGUAAAGGGCGCGUAGGCGGUCCUGUAAGUCCUGUGUGAAAUCCCCCGGCUCAACUGGGGAAUUGCACGGGAAACUGCGGGGCUUGAGUUCGGGAGAGGGAAGCGGAAUUCCGGGUGUAGCGGUGAAAUGCGUAGAUAUCCGGAGGAACACCGGUGGCGAAGGCAGCUCGCUGGGACGGUACUGACGCUGAGGCGCGAAAGCGUGGGGAGCGAACAGG
rnacentral:rRNA from 1 species